CUGGAGAUGGCUCAGUGAUUAAGAGCACUGGCUGCUCUUCCAGAGGUCCUGAGUUCAAUUCUCAGCAACCACA
rfam:Mesocricetus auratus contig040618, whole genome shotgun sequence.